UACGUAUUCCCUCCAUUCCGAAUUACUUGUCGUAGGUAUAGAUGUAUCUAGAUGUAUUUUAGUUCUAGAUACAUCCAUUUCUGCGACGAGUAAUUUGAAACGAAGGGAGUAUCUU
rfam:Triticum urartu cultivar G1812 contig348393, whole genome shotgun sequence.